UGCCAUAAACUCUUCAAGUCGAAGGAUAACUUCAAUGCAUCAGUAAACAACUUCUGAUAGCCGCUACUAGUCUAGAAUCAAGUUCCUUAGGGACUGGUUGAAUGACCUGGUUCGCUUGUCCGCCAUGUUGAAGAGUACAACACUGUGACCUAAAAGAACUAAAUAACUCAAGAAAUUUGCUGUAUUUGAACACCUAAAUGCCUGGAAUACAAGAUGCAGGAGUGAAGAAAAGAUGAAGUAUUUGCGAUUAUCUGCCUUUUGCCGGACAAGGUUAAUGUUAAAACAUUUUUGACGUUUUCAAGAUGUUUACAAUUAGCUUAAGAAAUUUUGAAUUCUGAAGACCCAAAACAACUUUUUUAAAGAUUACAAGAUUGACAUCAACAUUUAUUGGGUUCCCUCCCCUUAAUGUUUUCA